AUACGUAGGGUGCGAGCGUUGUCCGGAAUUACUGGGCGUAAAGAGCUCGUAGGUGGUUUGUCGCGUCGUCUGUGAAAUUCCGGGGCUUAACUCCGGGCGUGCAGGCGAUACGGGCAUAACUUGAGUACUGUAGGGGAGACUGGAAUUCCUGGUGUAGCGGUGAAAUGCGCAGAUAUCAGGAGGAACACCGGUGGCGAAGGCGGGUCUCUGGGCAGUAACUGACGCUGAGGAGCGAAAGCAUGGGUAGCGAACAGGAUUAGAUACCCUGGUAGUCCAUGCCGUAAACGGUGGGCGCUAGGUGUAGGGGUCUUCCACGACUUCUGUGCCGUAGCUAACGCAUUAAGCGCCCCGCCUGGGGAGUACGGCCGCAAGGCUAAAACUUAAAGGAAUCGACGGGG
rnacentral:rRNA from 1 species